UCCUUGAACCAUCGUCCCUAUCCGUCCCUCUCCCUCUGCCCCGGCGAGCCACCAUCCUGCUCCGCCCCGUGCUGCUGUGGCCCGCCUCCAACGCCACCCGCCUGUCGCCGGCGCUCCGGACGAAGCUCCGCUGCCACAUCAACUCCAACCGCUAACGGAUUCGACCCCCCAACCGACCCCAACGAUGGAUCCGGGUACGGGGGAAGCACGAAUCCGUCACUGCAGAUCCUGCACGGGCUGAGACUUCGGGGAUGAAGAGGUUUCGUGGAAAAAGUUUCCCCGUCAACUCUGACACCGUUGGGAUGCAACGGCAGCGGCCAGCAGCAAUGCAAUGUUGCCGCUGGGGCAGUGACUGCUUGUGGCAGCCAAAAGCAAGCAGCAGCUGCAGUACGCGGCGCUGGGCAGGGGGCUAUUUGCGUCAGCGAGCAGCGGCAGCCAUGGCUUCAGCAAGCAUCAGGAAAUAGGUGGCUCAGACUGAGAUGGGGAGCAGCAAAUCCAUGCCGUUCUGUACCUGCUCGCCCUGUUUCUAGGAAUCCCGGUAGCUAUCCCCCUGUUUUUUUUACGAGAAAUCCCCUGGUUAAUUGGUACCCGCCCAUCGAUCCAGGAAGUUAUUGUAAAAAAAAAUAUUCAGGAAGUUUAUAUGUAGCUUCUCUGUCUUCCAAGAUGUAACCAAGAUGUUUGUCUUCCAGGAUCAUGAAGUAAACUUCCUGGAUCGACUAAGAUGUAUUUUCUUUCUUGAAAUAUAUAACCAAGAAGUUGGAUAUUAAGUAAACCA